rnacentral:rRNA from 1 species
UAAUACAUGCAAGUCGAACGCGCAGCGAAAGGUGCUUGCACCUUUCAAGCGAGUGGCGAACGGGUGAGUAACACGUGGAUAACCUGCCUCAAGGCUGGGGAUAACAUUUGGAAACAGAUGCUAAUACCGAAUAAAACUUAGUAUCGCAUGAUACAAAGUUGAAAGGCGCUACGGCGUCACCUAGAGAUGGGUCCGCGGUGCAUUAGUUAGUUGGUGGGGUAAAGGCCUACCAAGACAAUGAUGCAUAGCCGAGUUGAGAGACUGAUCGGCCACAUUGGGACUGAGACACGGCCCAAACUCCUACGGGAGGCUGCAGUAGGGAAUCUUCCACAAUGGGCGAAAGCCUGAUGGAGCAACGCCGCGUGUGUGAUGAAGGCUUUAGGGUCGUAAAGCACUGUUGUAUGGGAAGAAAUGCUAGAAUAGGGAAUGAUUCUAGUUCGACGGUACCAUACCAGAAAGGGACGGCUAAAUACGUGCCAGCAGCCGCGGUAAUACGUAUGUCCCGAGCGUUAUCCGGAUUUAUUGGGCGUAAAGCGAGCGCAGACGGUUGAUUAAGUCUGAUGUGAAAGCCCGGAGCUCAACUCCGGAAUGGCAUUGGAAACUGGUUAACUUGAGUGUUGUAGAGGUAAGUGGAACUCCAUGUGUAGCGGUGGAAUGCGUAGAUAUAUGGAAGAACACCAGUGGCGAAGGCGGCUUACUGGACAACAACUGACGUUGAGGCUCGAAAGUGUGGGUA